GCACGCAGCCAUCUCCUGCACUGCAGCUCUGCUCUCUUCUUUGAUUGGUUUUAGCGGUGACGCCCCCUCCGAAUGCCUCGCUCGGAUUGGCCUACUUCUUGGAUCGGACUGGACGGUGGCCAGAGGAGGACAAGAGACUUCUAUACGGUCUGGAGGGACGAUUUGGGUCACAUCUGAGACGGCGUUGCACAUCAACAAGCGUCCAGGCUCCAGGGACAUGGCGGCGGCCUCUGUGAUGUCGGUGCUGCUGAUGGCGACUGAGAGGAACCGGUGGCAGCUAGUCCAGGGCCUGCUGCUGCUGCUGCCGCCCUGGCAACGAUCCAAAAGAUACUUCCAGCACUUGGAUACUACCUGGGAGCAACUUGUCAUGCUUGCAUUGUAUGGAACAAGUGUUCAAAAUAGAAUGCAAAAACUGUAAGCUGAUGGAAGAGGCAGCACAUGACAUCCCUGAUACUCCAGGGAGAAUAUUUGAUAUAGGAGAUACCUUUGUUGUGUCCCUUUCUGCCUUGGUGCCAAUCAAUAUGCUGAAGUCCUCAAAAAGUUCCUGAGAGAUCCAUUUCAAAUUCUAGUGAAGAAAGAACUGAUCUUUGAAAGGCGCUGACAGAAGGAAAGGGGCAUUACCAAGAGGGAACUCCUUGAUAAGAAUUGGAAGCGGGAGUCAGUUUGGGAGGAAAGCUGUGGCCAUAAACAUUGAAGAAGACAAGAAGAUUCUUUGUGACACUGAGACUUUCUAUCACACUACGGUAGAGGAAAUGGCAAAGACUGUGGCUGACCUAAUUUAAUUCCUGGAAUGAAAUGAUUAUGAAUGUAGUGCUUGCUGUUGCUGAACGGGCAAUCACAUUGUGCAUUGUGUUUCUUUUGGGGGUAAUAUGUGAAGCUUGUCUCAGUGCUCAUAACAGAUUAAAAAUACAGAUUUUGAUAGCAAAGCAACUUCAGACAUGAUUUCAUGAUAUCAUUGGUUUUAUCCUCUUGUUUCCUAGUUCUCUACACAUGGUUGUAUUAUUUGCCAUCAUUUAAUAAUAUGGACUGAAAGAUAUAAAAGCAGCUAUUUAUAAAGUUUGUCUGCCUUUACUGUAUUAGUCACUAACUGAAUAGAGCUAACUUUAAAAUGAUUUUUUAAGAAAAUACUUAAAUUUAUUUUGUUUGGUAUCAUUUUUUUCAGUAAGGCAUUUUAUUAGCAGUUAGUUGAAUGUUUAUUGAAUGUUCAAUAAAUUACAGUGAAGUAUUUUUUCUCUAAAGUUGUUUGGUCCUUAUUUUUUAAAGAUUUGUACUUCUUGCCAUAAUCCAUAUUUUCAAACAAAAAAGAUAAACUAGCAGUCUAUAGUAAUAUUUUAAUCUAGUUAUAAAAUUAUACACAAAGGAUACAACAAACAUGGCUUUUCAUAAAAAGGUUUAAUAGUUCCAAGUUAGCUGCUGCUUGGCAGUAGUAUAAAGACUGAUCAAUUGCAGAGUUCACC
ensembl:lncRNA